UUUCACUUCCUGAUGUCACGAUGCAGCUUGGAUCCGUCACACACUUCCUGCCACAAAGUUCAGCAUCCACAUAGGCCCACAUCAAGGGGGCGGCAAGAGACUGAAACCUCUGAAACUGGUUUGUAGCCCAGGCUGGCCUCAAACACAGCAAUCCUCCUGCCUCCGCCUCCCAAGCGCUGGGAUUACAGGGUUUCACUGAGACACAAAGUUGCCUUGGCUGGGCUUGACUUAAUGCGCAAUUGUUCUACCUCAGCCUCCCAAGUGCUGGGAUUACAGGUGUGCAGCGCUAUGCCCAGCUUGAAAUCUCUUCUUAAAAAGAAGCUGAGUGUCAAAGACAAGAGGUCAAACUCUGCACAAACAGGCUGGCCAUGAAUUUGCAAUCCUCCUACCUCCCAAGAAACUGAGAUUAGAGAACCUGGUGAAUUGCUACGUUUGGUCACUGCUAAACACCUGGACCCUGCAGAUCCUGUUGGUAGGGUUUCGGGCACCUAAGUUUUCUCUCACUUUCCUUCUAAAGCAUCACUGAAUACUUUAAAUCUCCUCUCACUGUCUGAAUGAUCAUAUAUGUACACUGUGUGUUCAAGUACCAGAAAUAAAGCAAAGAAACUAUCUUA